rnacentral:rRNA from 1 species
UGGGGAAUUUUGGACAAUGGGCGNCCUUNUGAUCCAGCCAUGCCGCGUGUCUGAAGAAGGCCUUCGGGUUGUAAAGGACUUUUGUCAGGGAGGAAAUCCCUAGUGCUAAUACCGCUGGGGGAUGACAGUACCCGAAGAAUAAGCACCGGCUAACUACGUGCCAGCAGCCGCGGUAAUACGUAGGGUGCGAGCGUUAAUCGGAAUUACUGGGCGUAAAGCGUGCGCAGGCGGUUUGAUAAGCCAGAUGUGAAAUCCCCGAGCUCAACUUGGGAACUGCGUUUGGAACUGUCAGACUAGAGUGCGUCAGAGGGGGGUGGAAUUCCGCGUGUAGCAGUGAAAUGCGUAGAGAUGCGGAGGAACACCGAUGGCGAAGGCAGCCCCCUGGGAUGACACUGACGCUCAUGCACGAAAGCGUGGGGAGCAAACAGGAUUAGAUACCCUGGUAGUCCACGCCCUAAACGAUGUCAAUUAGCUGUUGGGGGUUAGAAUCCCUGGUAGCGUAGCUAACGCGUGAAAUUGACCGCCUGGGGAGUACGGCCGCAAGGUUA